CAAUAGCGUAUAUUAAAGUUGUUGCAGUUAAAAAGCUCGUAGUUGGAUUUGUGGCGUACGGUGGGUUCCGGGCACUUGUUGUCUGAGUAACUUGCUGUUGCCAUCCUUGGGUGGAACCUGUGUGGCAUUAGGUUGUCGUGCAGGGGAUGCCCAUCAUUUACUGUGAAAAAAUUAGAGUGUUCAAAGCAGGCUUAUGCCGUUGAAUAUAUUAGCAUGGAAUAAUGAGAUAGGACUUUUUUGCUAUUUUGUUGGUUUGCGCAAAGAGGUAAUGAUUAAUAGGGACAGUUGGGGGUAUUCGUAUUCCAUUGUCAGAGGUGAAAUUCUUGGAUUUUUGGAAGACGAACUACUGCGAAAGCAUUUACCAAGGAUGUUUUCAUUA
rnacentral:rRNA from 1 species